rnacentral:rRNA from 1 species
CGGACGGGGUGAGUAAUGUCUGGGAAACUGCCUGAUGGAGGGGGGUAACUACUGGAAACGGUAGCUAAUACCGCAUAACGUCGCAAGACCAAAGAGGGGGACCUUAGGGCCUCUUGCCAUCGGAUGUGCCCAGAUGGGAUUAGCUUGUUGGUGGGGUAACGGCUCACCAAGGCGACGAUCCCUAGCUGGUCUGAGAGGAUGACCAGCCACACUGGAACUGAGACACGGUCCAG